AUUUAAGGUUUAAAAAUAUAAAAUUAAAAGAAUAAGCCCCCAUUAUGAAAGAUCCCACGCAGAGAGACCCUUACUCAAGUCUUGGGAAAUCGCGGACCCCAGACACAGAGAGACCA
rnacentral:pre_miRNA from 14 species